CUGAAGGCCUGUCAAAGCUGCUGCUGUCUGGUCGCGUGGUGUCCUCCAAGAUCUUGUUCGAUCUGAUAUAUCUGUGGUACAACCCGCUGUCGGAGGACGAGACACUACUGCGGGUCUGUCUGGGGACGUUCUUCCCUCUGUAUGCCUUUGCAUCCAGGUCCAACCAAGAGGUUGUGGAGAAGGCAAUUCUGCCGACCCUGAAGACCUUCCUUAAUGCCCCGCCCAUCAGCCCCCUGGCCGAGGUGGACGGAGCAACGUGGUCGAGAUACUCGUGCAGCUCACCAACACCAAACUGCUCACUGUGAAUCAGGCCAAGGAAAAUCUGAGCCAGGACAACCCAGGUCACGACAACCUCUUAGAGAGAGGUCUGCAACAUGAUCCUCUCGGCCCCGGACUCCGCCCACG